CAGCCGCCGCGGGAAUACGGGGGGGGCAAGUGUUAUUCGGAAUGACUGGGCGUAAAGGGCACGUAGGCGGUGAAAAGGGUGGAAAGUGAAAGUCGCCAAAACACUGGCGGGGUGCUUUCUUGACCAUUUCACUUGAGUGAGAUAGGGGAGAGUGGAAUUUCGUGUGGAGGGAUCAAAUCCUAAGAUAUACGAAGGAACGCCAACCGCGAAGGCAGCUCUCUGGGUCCCCGCUGACGCUGGGGUGCGAAAGCAUGGGGAGAAAACAGGAUCAGAUACCCCGGUAGUCCCUGUCUCUUAUACC
rnacentral:rRNA from 1 species